UUUUAUGGAGAGUUUGAUCCUGGCUCAGGAUGAACGCUGGCGGCGUGCCUAAUACAUGCAAGUCGAGCGAACGGACGAGAAGCUUGCUUCUCUGAUGUUAGCGGCGGACGGGUGAGUAACACGUGGAUAACCUACCUAUAAGACUGGGAUAACUUCGGGAAACCGGAGCUAAUACCGGAUAAUAUUUUGAACCGCAUGGUUCAAAAGUGAAAGACGGUCUUGCUGUCACUUAUAGAUGGAUCCGCGCUGCAUUAGCUAGUUGGUAAGGCAACGGCUUACCAAGGCAACGAUGCAUAGCCGACCUGAGAGGGUGAUCGGCCACACUGGAACUGAGACACGGUCCAGACUCCUACGGGAGGCAGCAGUAGGGAAUCUUCCGCAAUGGGCGAAAGCCUGACGGAGCAACGCCGCGUGAGUGAUGAAGGUCUUCGGAUCGUAAAACUCUGUUAUUAGGGAAGAACAUAUGUGUAAGUAACUGUGCACAUCUUGACGGUACCUAAUCAGAAAGCCACGGCUAACUACGUGCCAGCAGCCGCGGUAAUACGUAGGUGGCAAGCGUUAUCCGGAAUUAUUGGGCGUAAAGCGCGCGUAGGCGGUUUUUUAAGUCUGAUGUGAAAGCCCACGGCUCAACCGUGGAGGGUCAUUGGAAACUGGAAAACUUGAGUGCAGAAGAGGAAAGUGGAAUUCCAUGUGUAGCGGUGAAAUGCGCAGAGAUAUGGAGGAACACCAGUGGCGAAGGCGACUUUCUGGUCUGUAACUGACGCUGAUGUGCGAAAGCGUGGGGAUCAAACAGGAUUAGAUACCCUGGUAGUCCACGCCGUAAACGAUGAGUGCUAAGUGUUAGGGGGUUUCCGCCCCUUAGUGCUGCAGCUAACGCAUUAAGCACUCCGCCUGGGGAGUACGACCGCAAGGUUGAAACUCAAAGGAAUUGACGGGGACCCGCACAAGCGGUGGAGCAUGUGGUUUAAUUCGAAGCAACGCGAAGAACCUUACCAAAUCUUGACAUCCUUUGACAACUCUAGAGAUAGAGCUUUCCCCUUCGGGGGACAAAGUGACAGGUGGUGCAUGGUUGUCGUCAGCUCGUGUCGUGAGAUGUUGGGUUAAGUCCCGCAACGAGCGCAACCCUUAAGCUUAGUUGCCAUCAUUAAGUUGGGCACUCUAAGUUGACUGCCGGUGACAAACCGGAGGAAGGUGGGGAUGACGUCAAAUCAUCAUGCCCCUUAUGAUUUGGGCUACACACGUGCUACAAUGGACAAUACAAAGGGCAGCGAAACCGCGAGGUCAAGCAAAUCCCAUAAAGUUGUUCUCAGUUCGGAUUGUAGUCUGCAACUCGACUACAUGAAGCUGGAAUCGCUAGUAAUCGUAGAUCAGCAUGCUACGGUGAAUACGUUCCCGGGUCUUGUACACACCGCCCGUCACACCACGAGAGUUUGUAACACCCGAAGCCGGUGGAGUAACCUUUUAGGAGCUAGCCGUCGAAGGUGGGACAAAUGAUUGGGGUGAAGUCGUAACAAGGUAGCCGUAUCGGAAGGUGCGGCUGGAUCACCUCCUUUCUAA
rnacentral:rRNA from 1 species